GUCAAAACAAUGGCAUCUUUCUCCUUGUGCCAGCCACCAGGAACCUCAAAAGCCAGGGCAACAUGUGUGCUCCCACAGUCAGCUUGACGACGAUAAUCCCCUCCAACAUAUGCAGAUUCCGGCACUCUCACAAUGGGUACUUUGGGUAGGUCAGAUAGAAGAGGUUCUGCAAUGGAUAAAAGCUCCUCAUGUUCAACCCCUGAUGCUGCAAGCACCAUUCUAGGA
rnacentral:misc_RNA from 1 species